ensembl:lncRNA novel transcript
AGUGGUGAGAGUGGGCAUCCUUAUCGUGUUCCAGUUCUCAAGGAGAACAGUUCCAGCUUUUGUUUCUUCAGGAUGAUGUUGUCUCUGUGUUUGUCAUAGAUGGCUCUUAUUAUUUUGAGGUGCUGGUAUUCCUUUGACUGUGGUAUAAGUUCUGUGUAGUCAGUUGGGUUCAUUUCCAGAUACUUUAAGAUGGCCAAAGCCCUGUAGAAGAUCUUUAUUUCCCGGUCAAUCCUUGCUCCUGGUUUCCCAGGCAUUGUGGAGACAAAGUUGAAUAAACAUGGAAAUUUUACAAUACGUUUAAAAUUCAGUAGAUCAAAAAUAAGAUUUAAACAUCUGUUGGAGAUGAUUAUUCAACAAACUUCAAGGUAGAUUUCAUCAAAAUUACGUAAAUACAACAAAAGAAAGUGACAUAUAUAAAUGAUAUUAACACAUCAU